UAGCUCAGUCGGUAGAGCGUGAGACCCAUAAUCUCAGGCUCGUGGGUUCGAGCCUCAC
rfam:Cavia porcellus supercont2_295 genomic scaffold, whole genome shotgun sequence.